rnacentral:sRNA from 1 species
GAGGCAGAACUUGCAGUGAACCUAUAUCGCGCCACUGCACUCCAGCCUGGACGACAGAGUGAGACUCUGUCUCAAAAAUAAAUAAACAAAAAUAAUAAUAAUAAUUUGAACUCAAGGGUUGGGUGCAGGUAAGAGGAUAGCAAUAUGUUCUGGAAGCUUUGAAAUGAAAGAGGAUGUCAUUUUCUGGUCCUCUUGGGUUUUUUUUUUUUUUUUCAUUCCGAGAAGCUCAUCCUUAUUAGGGUACUGAUAAGCAACCUGAGAAAUGUGGUGGAGGCUCAGUUUGAUAGCCGGGUUCGUGCAACAGGACACAGUUAUGAGAAGUACAACAAUUGGGAAACGAUAGAGGCUUGGACUCAACAAGUCGCCACUGAGAAUCCAGCCCUCAUCUCUCGCAGUGUUAUCGGAACCACAUUUGAAGGACGUGCUAUUUACCUCCUAAAGGUUGGCAAAGCUGGACAAAAUAAGCCUGCCAUUUUCAUGGACUGUGGUUUCCAUGCCAGAGAGUGGAUUUCUCCUGCAUUCUGCCAGUGGUUUGUAAGAGAGGCUGUUCGUACCUAUGGAC